rnacentral:rRNA from 1 species
AGAGUUUGAUCCUGGCUCAGAAUCAACGCUGGCGGCGUGCCUAACACAUGCAAGUCGCACGAGAAAGGGACUUCGGUCCUGAGUACAGUGGCGCACGGGUGAGUAACACAUGAAUCAUCUACCUUCGAGUGGGGAAUAACUGAGAGAAAUCUUAGCUAAUACCGCAUAAUACCUACGGGUCAAAGCAGCAAUGCGCUUGAAGAGGAGUUCGCGGCAGAUUAGUUAGUUGGCGGGGUAAUGGCCCACCAAGACGAUGAUCUGUAUCCGGCCUGAGAGGGCGCACGGACACACUGGAACUGAAACACGGUCCAGACUCCUACGGGAGGCAGCAGUGGGGAAUUUUGCGCAAUGGGGGAAACCCUGACGCAGCAACGCCGCGUGGAGGAUGAAAUCCCUUGGGAUGUAAA